UACGUAGGGUGCGAGCGUUGUCCGGAAUUACUGGGCGUAAAGAGCUCGUAGGUGGUUUGUCGCGUUGUUCGUGAAAUCUCACGGCUUAACUGUGAGCGUGCGGGCGAUACGGGCAGACUAGAGUACUGCAGGGGAGACUGGAAUUCCUGGUGUAGCGGUGAAAUGCGCAGAUAUCAGGAGGAACACCGGUGGCGAAGGCGGUUCUCUGGGCAUUACCUGACGCUGAGGAGCGAAAGUGUGGGGAGCGAACAGG
rnacentral:rRNA from 1 species